rnacentral:misc_RNA from 1 species
UUUUCGUAGGUGAACCUGCGGAAGGAUCAUUAGUGAAUUUGUGGAUUCCUCUGAAAGGAGAAGGUCCACUUCACAUUUUUUUACACACUUGUGCACUUGUUCUUUUUUACAAAUUCACUUUUGUAAAACACUUGUGUUCAAAUUUUAGAAGUUGUUCAUGUGACAAAUGAUAAAUAAAAGUAAAACUUUUAGCAAUGGAUCUCUUGGCUCUCGCAUCGAUGAAGAACGCAGC